rnacentral:rRNA from 1 species
UCCAGACUCCUACGGGAGGCAGCAGUGAGGAAUAUUGGUCAAUGGCUGGAAGGCUGAACCAGCCAUGCCGCGUGAAGGUCAGUGCCCUAUGGGCGUUAAACUUCUUUUGUGCGGGAGCAAUAAUGGUCACGUGUGGCCAGACGAGAGUACCGUACGAAUAAGCAUCGGCUAACUCCGUGCCAGCAGCCGCGGUAAUACGGGGGAUGCAAGCGUUAUCCGGAUUUACUGGGUGUAAAGGGCGUGUAGCCGGGCUGACAAGUCAGAUGUGAAAUCCGGGGGCUCAACCCCCGAACUGCAUUUGAAACUGUUGGUCUUGAGUAUCGGAGAGGCAGGCGGAAUUCCUAGUGUAGCGGUGAAAUGCGUAGAUAUUAGGAGGAACACCAGUGGCGAAGGCGGCCUGCUGGACGACAACUGACGGUGAGGCGCGAAAGCGUGGGGAGCAAACAGGAUUAGAUACCCCUGUA